GAUGAACGCUGGCGGCGUGCCUAAUACAUGCAAGUCGAGCGAACGGACGAGAAGCUUGCUUUUCUGAUGUUAGCAGCGGACGGGUGAGUAACACGUGGAUAACCUACCUAUAAGACUGGGAUAACUUCGGGAAACCGGAGCUAAUACCGGAUAAUAUUUUGAACCGCAUGGUUCAAAAGUGAAAGACGGUCUUGCUGUCACUAAUAGAUGGAUCCGCGCUGCAUUAGCUAGUUGGUAAGGUAACGGCUCACCAAGGCAACGAUGCAUAGCCGACCUGAGAGGGUGAUCGGCCACACUGGAACUGAGACACGGUCCAGACUCCUACGGGAGGCAGCAGUAGGGAAUCUUCCGCAAUGGGCGAAAGCCUGACGGAGCAACGCCGCGUGAGUGAUGAAGGUCUUCGGAUCGUAAAACUCUGUUAUUAGGGAAGAACAUAUGUGUAAGUAACUGUGCACAUCUUGACGGUACCUAAUCAGAAAGCCACGGCUAACUACGUG
rnacentral:rRNA from 1 species